UCUCUCUCUCUCUCCCUCUCUCUUCUGUGAAUGCAUGUUUUCAUGUAUCUUGCAGACUUUGAAAACUUUUGUCACAUAAUGCAUUCAUCCAUUUAAAUCUCCUAUAUUGUCUGCUAACAAGCCUAGAUGACCGACAAGGAGGGGGAAAAAGUGAGAGAGUGAAAAGAGGGAAAUAAGAAGAGGCAAAAUUCUCUCUUUCUUGUAACUUAUGAAGCAACCUUGUCAUGCUGAAUUCAAAUAUGUUUUCCAUAGGGUUUUUUAUAGUUCUUCCAUUUUUGCUUCUCUUUUUCUUUGCCACAGCAACAAAUAGCCUGCAUAAUUUGUUGUUAGUUACAGUAUUUGGUUACAAAAGUAGAAAAUGAGGGUGAGGUGUGAUGAGUGACAUUGGAAGGAUUGCAGUCAAAGUUGAUUUACUCAGUAGAUUAUAUCCUUUCUUGCUACAUAUUAUUUUCUCUAUGCUUGUAGCCAAUUAAAUAUCCCUCAACUCACCUAAUAUCUUAAUCUGGGGGAGACAGCAUCAAAGCCCUUCAU
rnacentral:misc_RNA from 1 species